UACAGAGACUGCAAGCGUUAUUCGGAUUCACUGGGCGUAAAGGGUGCGCAGGCGGCCGUGUGUGUCAGGUGUGAAAGCCCGGGGCCCAACCCCGGAAUUGCAUCUGAAACUGCCUGGCUAGAGUCCCGGAGAGGAAGGCAGAAUUCCCGGUGUAGGGGUGAAAUCCGUAGAUAUCGGGAGGAAUACCAGCGGCGAAGGCGGCCUUCUGGACGGUGACUGACGCUGAGACGCGAAAGCGUGGGGAGCAAACAGG
rnacentral:rRNA from 1 species